rfam:Populus trichocarpa scaffold_8_contig_25, whole genome shotgun sequence.
CUGUUUGCCGAUGGAGCACCAUCAAGAUUCACAAACUUUAUUAGGGCUAAUAAGUGGUGAUGAUGGUGGCUUUUGGUGGUCCCUUCGUUUCAACCCAAUAGCCAUUUGAAUUGGGAAUCUUGAUGAUGCUGCAGCGGCAAUAAA